rnacentral:rRNA from 1 species
UACGUAGGGUGCAAGCGUUUGUCCGGAAUUAUUGGGCGUAAAGAGCUUGUAGGCGGUUUGUCGCGUCUGCUGUGAAAACUCAGGGCUUAACCCUGAGCUUGCAGUGGGUACGGGCAGACUAGAGUGCGGUAGGGGAGACUGGAAUUCCUGGUGUAGCGGUGAAAUGCGCAGAUAUCAGGAGGAACACCGGGUGGCGAAGGCGGGGUCUCUGGGCCGAUACUG